CUGGGUCCUGGCGGGUGAGAAGAGAAAGGUUAGUUGUGACCCGAUUCCUGAUAAGGAGAGAAAUGCUAGGCUGGAGUAACGCAGAAGAACAGAGUGGAAAGGGGCCACCCUCCUUCCUCCCUCUCCGCCCUGCGCCAUCGGGGUUGACCUGGCGCUGACUCACUUCGGAACGGUGGGAGCCGAUUGCGCAGGCUCCCGAGUUCCUGCGCCCACCAUUGAGGAGCUGAGCGCAAACUCGUGCUCUGACGCCUACUCUCCCCACCAAGUCUUGGGUGCAGACGCCAAUGCAGAGGAUUCGCAAAGAACUGUGGGAGGAGAGCCCAGUGCCCAAGGUGAAUAGAGACCAGUGCUUUUUCCUCCAAAGUGAAUGCAAAGGUCCUGAAACAAGAGGUGGCCAACACUGCCAAGUAAACAAUUUUAAGGUACAUGUAGAAGACAGAGCGAGAAGAAAAGAAUCUUACCACAAUUAGAAACAGGCAAUAUGACCGGCGCAGCCCCCCAAUGAGACAGAGGACGCUCUUGUGGGUAACAGGUAACUGCCGCUUUAUUUACGCGGGCUCUGGUUUAUAUAUUCGGCCGUGACCAAUCACAGGCUGCCACGAGGAAGCAGGGCGGGAAUGGGACGCAGGCUCUGGCUAAUAUAUCCAGCUGUGGCCAAUCAGGGGUUGCCACAGAGUUGGCACGGGGCGAAUACGGAGUGAGCACGAGGUGCGCACAGGGUGGCUAAUUUAGAGAGGGACAUAACGCAUUGCGGAAGCUGACGUGGUCUUAUCGUCCCGGGCGGGGUGUGUUGAGCGCCUGCGCCCGACAGCAAUACUCUUAGGAAAGAAUGGGCCUCCUUAGCUUUUGAGGGAGAGUCUAACACAUUUAAAUGUGCUACUGUGAGCAGUUUAUCAGUAAUUCCUCAGGCUCCUAGGUCACCUGAAGGAAGAAAAUGUUCUGUAAUAGUUCUGUGGGGAUCUUGGCGGGAACCUGGCCCAAGAUCCCCACUGCCUGUAUGAGGGGUACGAAGCCAGUGAAAGGAUGAAAUAAGAGGCCGAGACAAAUUUAGUAAUGCAUGGAGAGAUGGGAGGGUGAUCUUCCCGCACACCUGGGUGCUCAUCUCAUUGGCCGAAAGGAUGGUGAUUUUCACAUUCCAAAACUGGCCCACGAGGCAGAUAGGGUGAGGAGAGCCUAAGAUGCACUGUGUCAAUUUACAAUUCACAGCCCCAGCAGACCCAGGUGGCAAAGCAUGUGGUCCUCUCAUGGCACUGCCAUGAAUCAGCAUUCCCGGUGGCACUGGGAAUGUCCUGUGUGGCUCAAGAUGAUGGAUGACUCCUCUGGCAUGCCUUAGUAAAAUUAUAAUUUUACUAAGACUGACUGGUGAGUGUGGGAAGGACAGCACAGGGUCUAUCACUUGUCCUGGGGCUACAGGUGGGGAUAUAUUUGACUCCACAGCCACUGGGGAUGAGCCCAACUCAAAAGUCUGUGAAGAAAUUGUUUCUGGAGAGAAAUCUUCUCUGCAGGACUUUUUGCUGGUCUGUGUGGUUGUCCACUUAGAAUUGAAGAAGAGAUGACGUCAGGUGUAGAUCUAUUUUGGUGCAACUCCUCUGACUAACGGGUUGGUGGCUGAUCAGCAGCUUGAGUAGAAUAUUUGAAGAUCUGUGAUGAGGUGGUGUGGGAUGGACCACUGGGGAUGGAUCCUGUAAACAUAGGGAUGGUUUCCUGAGUAAAUGGAAGACGGAUUACAGAAGACCUGUUCUGCGGGUAUCCAUCGCUCCUUCUCGCAGAGGUCCUGAUGGUUUCUCAGUGGGCCCAUGAACUAAUGCAUACGGUAUCACCACGGACACAGCAUGCAUUUCCCUCUCCAAUGGUUACAGCCCCCCUGGAGUUAAUUUGCCAAUCAAAUGGCAGUGUCCAACUCUGAGUACCACACGUCAUCAACCUGGCAGCAGAUUUCCCCUCUCCGUCCCUUUCACCAUGCAAAGGGGCAGUGUUAUAGUCUGGAUAUGGAUUUGUCUUUCCUGCCCGUUAGGCUUAGGGCAAUCUUCACUUGUCAUCACUGAACUUACAGAAUUCUUUCUUCAUUUUCAAGGGUUCUAGAACCACGGAGUGAAGGGCAGAGUGACCCCUCAUUUCAUACCUUAGCAUGUCUAAAGGAUUCCUUUCCAUUGCUUUACUGACUAGUUUUCAAGGCCCUCUUGGCUAAAGAAAGUGCCGUCACCACAGUCCUGGGAUAGACUGGAAGCCAAGACGACUGCCACUUGGCCACUCGCAGCUCUUUACACCACUGAACCUGUAUGCAAAUGUGGAUGUCAUCAUGUUAACCGCAGUGACUGACAACAGUUACCAGGCUAGGAAGCUGAGCCAUUGCUGUAAAGUGAAGGCAAAGAUUUUCACUGCGACUAAAGUGAUUCUCCUGAAUCCUUUAUAUUUCCUUUCCUAAUGGUACUGGUUCAGUCAGAAAACUACAGUAAAGCCAGGGAGACAUCAAAUACUCAGGCCUCUCUUUUUUUCAUCUCAAAUAUUUUAAUAUUUUUAUUUGGCAAAGAGAAGGCUAAGAAUUUUUGAAAAAACAUCUGCAGAGGCAACGCCUUUUGCCAUAAAAUAAAUUUAUGUGAUUUGGGAGGACAAAUCUCAAAUGUAUGUUUUUGUUUAUGUGCCAAUUUUAUAAUUAGUACCAAAAUCUUUGUUGAAAUAUUUUAAAAAUGUAAAAACCAAUCUAGGCAACAUAGUUAUACAAGCUUGCUGUAAAAGUACGUGUAUCAAAUCUGCCCAAAGUAUUUUUGCAAUAUACUAAAUUUCAUUCCUCAAGUUCCUCUUCACUGCCAGCUGGCUUUUCUACUUUCUGUUGUCUCCAUCCUAUGUCCAUCCUUGAGAUCUUGAAGUUCAGGCCUCUCUUACAGAAGCAAAAUUUGUCUCAACCCACCAGUUUAAAAAUCUCAUCCAGUCAAAAUGCAGAUCAAGGUAAAAAAAGACCAUGAUAACCCAGGAUCAGGAUAAUCCAAAAUCUACCAACAGUCAGUAGUGUAUGUUUAGGUUACAAAACCAUAAAGAAAAGCAAAGAAACAUGAUCAACAAAAAAAUAGAUAGGGCUGGGUAUUUAGCUCAGCAGCAUAAGCGCCUGCCUGGCAAGCCCAAGGUCAUGAGUUCAAUCCCUGGUAUCCCACCUUAAAAAAAGAAGAAUUGUGCUGAAGUGAUAAAGAUGCCAGCGAGAGUUGUAGAAGGGCAGACAAGACAUCCCUGAGUAGAUCUUAUUAUUUAAUUUUCAGUUUUGACAAAAACAAUUGUUUUUGAAUUUUGAAUGAAACUCAAAAAUAAAAUUAGUUAAAAAGCAAACCCUAAAACUGAAAACAAACAAACCUAGUUAUAUAUCAAAUCGAUAAUCAUAACUAAAGAAACAAACUGCUUGAAGUGACUUCAGAACAUAGUAUUUUGUGGUGUGUUCCCAGGCAUUAUAUUCAAGAACAAGAGAAAUUCCCAGAAACCUACACUUUACUCUCUGCUUUAUUGAGUAGAGCAAUAUUUGUAUCACUACUGUGAACUGUUAUCUGUAUGCUGUAGGAUUAAACACACAUGUGCUCCUGUCAGUGUCAUCAGGAGCCAAAUCUUUCAAUAUAAGAACAUGUAUAAAAUAAAAAAUCCCAUUCAAUUAAAAACAUCCUUAAGUUUUAAUUGAGUAUCUCAUUGUGUGUCUUAAUAUCCUAGCUCUGUUUACUGAAAUCAGCCAUUAUCAUCCCUAAUACUCCAGUGAUGGUCUCUAAAAUUAGUCCUUUACCAAUUAUCUUAGAAGAAACAGCCACUUCUGUAUUUGGACAGUGAAUAAAAACAGUGAACCCAGAGCCCGGGGUUUAGCUCAGGGGCAUAAGCACCUGCCUGGCAAGCACAAGCCGUGACCUCGAUUCCCCCAGGUGAACCUGGUAUGUCUUGGGGUGACAGAAAGUCAAGGAGAUUUUAAUGGUUAAUGGGAUGUUUCAAAAGGACAUUGGAGCCAGUUUAAAGGAUGUCUCACUGGAUUAUUUGGGAUAACCUGAAUAUCAGA